rnacentral:rRNA from 1 species
CUACGGGGGGCAGCAGUGAGGAAUAUUGGUCAAUGGGCGCAAGCCUGAACCAGCCAUGCCGCGUGAAGGAUGAAGGCCUUAUGGGUUGUAAACUUCCUUUAUACGGGAAUAAACUUAGCUAUGUAUAGCUAACUGCAGGUACCGUAAGAAUAAGCACCGGCUAACUCCGUGCCAGCAGCCGCGGUAAUACGGAGGGUGCAAGCGUUAUCCGGAUUUAUUGGGUUUAAAGGGUCCGCAGGCGGACUAAUAAGUCAGUGGUGAAAUCUCUCGGCUCAACCGAGAAACUGCCAUUGAUACUGUUAGUCUAGAGUGUAGUUGGCGUAGGCGGAAUGUAUCAUGUAGCGGUGAAAUGCUUAGAUAUGAUACAGAACACCGAUCGCGAAGGCAGCUUACGAAACUACAACUGACGCUCAGGGACGAAAGCGUGGGAAGCGAACAGGAUUAGAUACCCGGGUAGUC